GAAAGCAACUCCCUCCCAAGGUUUCAACCUAUCACUGUGCAUGAAGAUAGCAGGUGAGGUAGCACCUUCAAAUUCCUACAUGCAAGGAUUAGACAAAUCGAAGACAGAGGAAGUGCAAUAUUUCAGAAACCCUGUAGAUCUAAACUCAUCAUAGAAAUUAUACCCCAAGAAUAAAAAGAAAAUUUAUCAGUUCUUCUCCAACUUAACAUUGAUGACAGUCAUCUAUCCCAUCUGCCUAUUCCAUGAAUGUCAACAUACAAGCAACUAGAAUCAGAAGCUCAAUUCUUGAAGAAGGCUAUCCUAUACUUAAUGCUAGCUACCUACCUACAUAAUAUUGGACGUGAAAUGCUUUCAUGAACUACUGCUUCUAGGGAGAUGUUUAAUAGAGUUAUGCUGGAAGUAUCACUGUGUUGUAGAAUCAGAUGAUUAAUUUACUUUUGGCAUCCAAAAAGGGGGUGAAUUGCUACCAAAAGAAACAGCAUAAAAAUCUUCCCCCUUUUAACCCUAGAGUAAAAUUUAUGAAACCAGUCUGCACAUUAGAAUCACUAGGGAGCUUUAAAAAUAUAUUGAUGCUCAAGUCUCACUCCCAGAGAUUCUGAUUAGUCUUGGACGGGACCUGGGCGUCUGUAUGUUUUAAAACCUCCCCUGGCCAGGCACAGUAGCUCAUGCCUGUAAUCCCAACACUUUGUGAGGCUGAAGUGGGUGGAUCACCACAGGUCGGG
rnacentral:lncRNA from 1 species